rnacentral:rRNA from 1 species
UACGUAGGGGGCAAGCGUUGUCCGGAAUCAUUGGGCGUAAAGAGCGUGUAGGCGGCUCGGUAAGUCCGCUGUGAAAGUCCAGGGCUCAACCCUGGAAUGCCGGUGGAAACUGUCGAGCUCGAGUCCGGAAGAGGCGAGUGGAAUUCCUGGUGUAGCGGUGAAAUGCGCAGAUAUCAGGAGGAACACCGGUGGCGAAGGCGCUGCUCUGGGCCGGUACUGACGCUGAGGAGCGAAAGCGUGGGUAGCAAACAGG